rnacentral:rRNA from 1 species
ACGCUGGCGGCAGGCCUAACACAUGCAAGUCGUACGAGAGUUUUUAACUCUAGUGGCGGACGGGUGAGUAACACGUGAGAAUUUGCCUUUAGGAGGGGGACAACAAUCGGAAACGAAUGCUAAUACCCCAUAUGCUUUCGAGUGAAAUGGAUUUUAUCCGCCUAGAGAGAAGCUCGCGGCUGAUUAGCUUGUUGGUAAGGUAAGAGCUUACCAAGGCGACGAUCAGUAUCUGGUUUGAGAGGACGAUCAGACACACUGGAACUGAGACACGGUCCAGACUCCUACGGGAGGCAGCAGUGGGGAAUUUUCCGCAAUGGGCGAAAGCCUGACGGAGCAAUACCGCGUGAGGGAAGACUGCCUAUGGGUUGUAAACCUCUUUUUUCAGGGAGGAAUAAAAUGACGUGUACCUGAAGAAUAAGCAUCGGCUAACUCCGUG